AAUGGUCGGAAGACUGAUCCAGCCAUGCCGCGUGCAGGAAGACUGCCUAUGGGUUGUAAACUGCUUUUAUAUGGGAAGAAAGGCCUACGUGUAGGCUGAUGACGGUACCAUAAGAAUAAGCACCGGCUAACUCCGUGCCAGCAGCCGCGGUAAUACGGAGGGUGCAAGCGUUAUCCGGAAUCAUUGGGUUUAAAGGGUCCGUAGGCGGGUUUAUAAGUCAGUGGUGAAAGUCUGCAGCUUAACUGUAGAACUGCCAUUGAUACUGUAGAUCUUGAAUUAUUGUGAAGUGGUUAGAAUAUGUAGUGUAGCGGUGAAAUGCUUAGAGAUUACAUAGAAUACCGAUUGCGAAGGCAGAUCACUAACAAUAUAUUGACGCUGAUGGACGAAAGCGUAGGUAGCGAACAGGAUU
rnacentral:rRNA from 1 species